rnacentral:rRNA from 1 species
AUGUCGCUCCGCCGGCUGUGCUUCGUGCUGCCCAUGGACGGGGACGAGGUCCUCGUGGCCUCUGCCGACGACGACGACGCCUGGCGCCGCCCCCGGGAGAGGAUGGGCUCGUACGUCCGCGGCAAGGUCGGCCGCGCGCUGUCCUGCCUCCGCUGUGGGUGCCGUGACUCCCGGUCGGCGGCGGGCUUCGAGGACAUGGACGGCGUGUACGAGGUCGGGGCGAGGAAGAUCAGAGGCGCGGCCGGGCCCAGGGUGUUCAGCUACUCGGAGCUCUACAUCGGCACCAGCGGCUUCAGCGAUCAAGAAGUCCUCGGUAGCGGGGGAUUCGGGCGGGUGUACCGCGCCGUGCUGCCAAGUGAUGGCACCACGGUGGCCGUCAAGUGCGUUGCCAGCGUCGGCGUCGACCGCUUCGAGAAGUCGUUCCUGGCGGAGCUGGCCGCGGUGGCCCGGCUGCGGCACCGCAACCUCGUGCGGCUCCGCGGGUGGUGCGUCCGGGACGAGGAGGAGCUGCUGCUCGUGUACGACUACAUGCCCAACCGCAGCCUCGACCGCCUACUCUUCGCGCCGGCCUCGGCUGCCCCGGGAGCUCCCGCGCUCGGCUGGGACCGGCGUCGGCGCAUCGUCGCCGGCCUCGCCGCCGCGCUGCUCUACCUGCACGAGCAGCUCGACACACAGAUCAUCCACCGGGACGUCAAGACCAGCAACGUCAUGCUUGAUUCCGAGUACAACGCCAGGCUGGGGGACUUCGGCCUCGCCCGCUGGCUCGAGCACGCCGUGGAGGAUGCGCCGCCCAUGAAAAAGCUCGAGCUGCUGCCGUCGCCGCCUUCCGUGCGGUCGACGUCGUCGUUUUCCUCGUCGGCCAACUACCAGUUCCGGCUGAUCGACACGAGCAGGAUCGGCGGCACCAUCGGGUACCUCCCUCCGGAGAGUUUCCAGCGCAGGGGCGCGGCCACGGCCAAGUCCGACGUGUUCAGCUUCGGAAUUGUGCUCCUGGAGGUGGCCACCGGACGCCGGGUGGUCGAUCUGGCGUACCCCGACGACCAAAUCUUCAUGCUCGAUUGGGUACGCCGGCUGUCCGACGAUGGAAAGCUUCUCAAAGCCUGUGAUCGUAAGCUGCCGGAAGGCGCGCGCGCCAUGUUCGACAUGGGCCGGUUCAUCCACCUCGGCCUCCUCUGCUCGCUGCAUGACCCGAGGGCUCGUCCUACGAUGAAGUGGGUGGUGGAGAACAUCUCCGGCAGCUGCUCCGGCGACCUCCCGGCGCUUCCGUCCUUCUUAGCACUCCCAAAGUACAUCUCUCUCACCUCAUCCUCCUCCGACUCCGGUACCUCGACAACAAUCGCCGGCACGAACAGCACAGCCACAUCUGCCGCAUCUACGAAGCACAUGUACGCCACAGCGGCUGGCACCACCAUUUACCUCACUGCAGAAGACGGCAGGUCGCCCACAGGCGGCUCGGGUGAGAAUAAGAGCGGCAGCAGCCAGCGAUCGUCGCCGCGGCCAGCGGUGGCCGUUCCAAAUGUGGAUACUCCGCGUGAGAUAUCGUACAAGGAGAUCGUGGAGAUUACGAACGAUUUCUCCGAGUCGCAGGUGGUGGCGGAGCUGGACUUCGGGACAGGGUACGAGGGCUUCUUGGACAACGGCAAUGGCGGGCGCGUCCACGUCCUCGUGAAGCGGCUGGGCAUGAAGACGUGCCCGGCGCUGCGCGUCAGGUUCGCGAACGAGCUCUGCAACCUGGCCAAGCUGCGGCACCGGAACCUGGUGCAGCUGCGCGGGUGGUGCACGGACCACGGCGAGAUGCUCGUCGUCUACGACCACUCCGCGGGGAACCUCUUGAGCCACCACCUCCUCGCCCGGCACAGCAAUUCUGGCAUACUCUCGUGGCGCCACAGGUACGGCAUCGUGAGGGCGCUGGCGUCCGCCGUGCUGUACCUGCACGAGGAGUGGGACGAGCAGGUCAUCCACCGCAACAUCACGUCGGCGGCGGUGUUCCUGGACUCCGACCGGAGCCCGCGGCUGGGCAGCUUCGCGCUCGCCGAGUUCCUGUCAAGAAACGAGCACAAUAAUCCCCACGUAGUUUUGCCCACCGGCUCAGGUACAGCGCGGGGCAUCUUCGGGUACAUGUCGCCGGAGUACAUGGAGACCGGCGAGGCCACCACGAUGGCCGACGUGUACAGCUUCGGGGUGGUGGUUCUCGAGGUCGUGACCGGCGCGAUGGCGGUAGACAUGAGGUCGCCGGAGGUGCUCCUCGUAAAGAAGGUGCAGGUCGGCCAGGAGCAGGACGUCCGUGACGUGGAAGCGCUCGCGGACAGGCGGCUGGACGGCAGGCUCGAUCGGCGAGAGCUGGUGCGGCUGGCGAAGCUGGGCAUCGCGUGCACGCGGUCGGACCCGGCGGCGCGGCCGAGCAUGAGGAAAAUCGUCAGCAUUCUGGACGGCAACGACGAGGUGCUGAGGAAGUUCGAGCGGCGGAUGGAGAGCAGGGAGGAGUGGGAGAGGAAGAACGCGGCGGCUCUGUCCUUGGUCCGGAGAUUGCAGGCUCUUGGUAUACACUGA